UACGAAGGGUGCUAGCGUUGCUCGGAAUUACUGGGCGUAAAGGGCGCGUAGGCGGAUAUUUAAGUUAGAGGUGAAAGCCCAGGGCUCAACCCUGGAAUAGCCUUUAAUACUGGAUGUCUUGAGUUCGGGAGAGGUGAGUGGAAUGCCGAGUGUAGAGGUGAAAUUCGUAGAUAUUCGGCGGAACACCAGUGGCGAAGGCGACUCACUGGCCCGAUACUGACGCUGAGGCGCGAAAGCGUGGGGAGCAAACAGG
rnacentral:rRNA from 1 species